rnacentral:rRNA from 1 species
AUGGAGGUGCACAACGAGGUAGAUGGAUCAGGUGUACCCCUGGCCGUGCUCCUCAAGCGAGAGCUGUGCAACCAGAAGGUGGAGAAGCCGGAUAUCCUGUUUGGGGAGGCGAGCAAGAGCAAGAAAGGGGAGGACUUCACGCUUCUCGUGGCCAAUUGCCACCGCACUCCAGGCGAGGGCCCCGGUGACGAUGCAGGCGGCGAUGACACCAUCUCGAUGUUUGUGAUUGUUGAUGGCCACAACGGACCUGCGGCUGCAGUAUACACUAGGGAGAAUCUCCCAAACAAUGUGUUAGCUGCUAUUCCUCCAAAUCUUACAAGUGAGGAGUGGACAGCGGCAUUGCCAAGGGCACUAGUUGCAGGUUUUGUUAAAACAGAUAAAGACUUCCAAACAAAAGCUGCACGUUCAGGAACCACGGUAACUUUUGUUAUAAUAGAUGGAUGGGUUGUCACUGUAGCAUCAGUUGGUGAUUCACGUUGUAUUCUAGAAUCUGCUGAAGGUUCAGUUUACUUCUUGUCUGCUGAUCACCGCCUGGAUGUCAAUGAGGAGGAGGUGGAGCGUGUAACAGCAAGUGGUGGUGAAGUUGGGAGAAUAAAUAUUGCUGGAGGUGCUGGGAUCGGUCCACUAAGAUGUUGGCCAGGCGGAUUGUGUUUGUCAAGGUCAAUUGGUGAUACCGACGUUGGAGAAUACAUAGUUCCUGUCCCCCAUGUGAAGCAAGUAAAGCUAUCCAAUGCCGGAGGCCGGCUUGUCAUUGCUAGCGAUGGUGUGUGGGAUGCACUGCGCUUUCAAGAAGCCCUGAACUACACCAGGGGGCUGCCAGCUGAAGCUGCUGCGAAUCGAAUUGUUAAAGAAGCUGUGAGCUCAAAAGGACUACGAGAUGAUACUACCUGCAUAGUAGUCGACAUAUUACCUCCAGAAAAGCUAAGCCCUCCAUUGAAGAGGCAUGGGAAAGGAGGCAUCAAAGCAUUAUUCCGAUGGAGGCCCUCAGAUGAAUUAUCUGAAGAACAGACAGACAAUGGGUGUUUUGAACCUGAUGUUGUAGAGGAACUAUAUGAAGAGGGGUCCGCAAUGCUUGCUCAAAGGUUGAAUGUAAACUAUCCAGCCGGAAAUAUGUUCAAGCUUCAUGAUUGUGCAGUCUGCCAAUUGGAGAUGAAACCUGGUGAGGGUGUCUCUGUUCAUGGCAACAUGCCGAAGCAUCAUUCACGGGUUGACCCCUGGGGCGGUCCUUUUCUUUGUUCAUCCUGCCAAGUGAAAAAGGUGGCAAUGGAAGGGAAGCUGCAUUUGUGA